rnacentral:rRNA from 1 species
GGGUUGUGAGGUUAAGUGACUAAGCGUACACGGUGGAUGCCUAGGCAGUCAGAGGCGAUGAAGGGCGUGCUAAUCUGCGAAAAGCGUCGGUAAGGUGAUAUGAACCGUUACAACCGGCGAUACCCGAAUGGGGAAACCCAGUGUGUUUCGACACACUAUCAUGUCAUGAAUACAUAGUGGCAUGAGGCGAACCGGGGGAACUGAAACAUCUAAGUACCCCGAGGAAAAGAAAUCAACCGAGAUUCCCCCAGUAGCGGCGAGCGAACGGGGAGGAGCCCAGAACCUGAAUCGGCUUGUGUGUUAGUGGAAGCGUCUGGAAAGUCGCGCAGCAAAGGGUGAUAGCCCCGUACACUAAAAUGCACAGGUCGUGAGUUCGAUGAGUAGGGCGGGACACGUGACAUCCUGUCUGAAUAUGGGGGGACCAUCCUCCAAGGCUAAAUACUCCUGACUGACCGAUAGUGAACCAGUACCGUGAGGGAAAGGCGAAAAGAACCCCGGCGAGGGGAGUGAAAUAGAACCUGAAACCGUGUACGUACAAGCAGUGGGAGCACCUUCGUGGUGUGACUGCGUACCUUUUGUAUAAUGGGUCAGCGACUUAUAUUUUGUAGCAAGGUUAACCGUAUAGGGGAGCCGUAGGGAAACCGAGUCUUAACUGGGCGAAUAGUUGCAAGGUAUAGACCCGAAACCCGGUGAUCUAGCCAUGGGCAGGUUGAAGGUUGGGUAACACUAACUGGAGGACCGAACCGACUAAUGUUGAAAAAUUAGCGGAUGACUUGUGGCUGGGGGUGAAAGGCCAAUCAAACCGGGAGAUAGCUGGUUCUCCCCGAAAGCUAUUUAGGUAGCGCCUCGUGAACUCAUCUUCGGGGGUAGAGCACUGUUUCGGCUAGGGGGCCAUCCCGGCUUACCAAACCGAUGCAAACUCCGAAUACCGAAGAAUGUUAUCACGGGAGACACACGGCGGGUGCUAACGUCCGUCGUGAAGAGGGAAACAACCCAGACCGCCAGCUAAGGUCCCAAAGUCAUGGUUAAGUGGGAAACGAUGUGGGAAGGCAUAGACAGCCAGGAUGUUGGCUUAGAAGCAGCCAUCAUUUAAAGAAAGCGUAAUAGCUCACUGGUCGAGUCGGCCUGCGCGGAAGAUGUAACGGGGCUAAACCAUGCACCGAAGCUGCGGCAGCGACG